UAUACGAAACAUAUACCAGUUCAAUCUUUGGUCCACUGCGAGCCCCACUCUCCUUUAUAAGGAAUGAAACGAUUGCGCAGCCCAUAUUCGAUUUGCGAUUGCGUUCGGGCUGAGUGUACAUUGUUGCAGUUGCACUGGAGGUUGUAUUUGUCGAUUGUCAGACUGUCGGACGGGCUUUCAACCAUUUACAAAUGAUUUAUUCAUAACCUGAAAUAUUUAUCGUUAUGAAGUUUCUUGAAAUUUGCAGUUUUUUUUUGCUCCCAGCAAAAGAGUCACUGUCGAAUGGAAUAUGCCAUACUUUACUUUAACCACAGCCAUUUUAAAUUUACCAUGUUUUAUUAAACGCUGUAUCGAUCCCCAAGUUCGUUGAACCAUAAAAUGUUUGGGAGCUUUUGGCUGGGAGGGCUCUCCAAUUCACUUCCGAAAGUACAUACAUCCCCUCAGAGGAGAACGAAAAAGAGAGGUAUACGUUGAUUACUGCUCUUGAAAAUUUCAAGUGUUAAUUACCAGCAUUUGAAACAUAAACUCUCGCACACAACAGUGAUAGGGACCCCGACAGGUAUAUAGCACAUCCAUUGGCUACGGACUUACCAGACAGGACCAGCGGGCCCAAUCACUCAAGGUCACAGGCAUGCGCAUUUCUUUGUUAGACGUUUUAAGAGUUAAUUAAAGAAGCACCAGUUAAUAAAAUAGCACCAGUCGUCGUGCUAUGAUAACAACGAAUGAAAUGAAGAAGUGCGGUGCAUCUGAAACUGGACUAAAAUCUGUAGCCCCGGGAGACGCCAAAGCUAGCCAAGCCGGGCAGCCUCUUAAGUGGGGAAGUUCAGCAAAUCUCCGGAAAAUUUUACUUCCGACGCAGUUGUGGGGCCAGCCCUAGCGGCGCAAGCGUCACACUUGAUCCGAAUGUGGUGCAACUCCUUCUCGAGGCCAGGUUCGAGAUACUGGUCAGUGAGAAGGGUUAUUGGCCUAGUCAGGGCCAAUUUGUAAUUAAGUACCAUACUUUGAAACUGCGGCAGCCCCGGCAGAGGUAUGCGUGCACCCGACUCUCUGUAAUUUGUCGCAAUUUAAUUUCGUUUAGUUAUCAUGCCGCGCUGACAACUGUGUAAAACGCAAUGAAUUUGUUUGCCGAUACGAUUUUUAGCCUGGUCACCUGGUUUGCUGCUCACUCAUUUGGGUGAUAUACGGCUCCCCAUCGCACCCCUUCCCCUAAUAAGUCUGGGAUACCGCGAGGUCGGUGUCAAUGCUCACUGGGCUCCUGUUCUGGUCAUCUGUCCUUUCACGGCUAACUUGGGCAAUGCAACAAACUACCUGCCCACUUACUCUGACUGUAUGCGCAGAAUUUCAUUUACAUUACUAAUUACUCUUCACAUGCUCUCGCCGUUUUAAUCGCGUGCAAUGCGCGAUUCUGCACACCAACGGAUUAAAAAUAAAAAAUAACUCUAUAGUUGAGUACUUCGACUGACAAAUACCCACUCUCUUAAUAAAUUUAAAAAUUUGUUUAUACAAGUUUUGAAGUAAUGAGCGGACACGAAAAACUUGCAUAUAAUGAUUUGAUAUUUCUAAGCUAAGUCGUCAAUAGAAGUUGCAUGCUAGACACCAACUCUUAAGCUUUUAUAAUUAUACCCGUUAUCCGUAGAGUUCAAGGGUAUACUAGAUUCGUUGAAAAGUAUGUAACAGGCAGAAGAAAGCGUUUCCGACCAUGUAAUGUAUGUAUAUGUAUUCUUGAUCAGGACCAAUAGUCGAGUCGAUCUGGCCAUGUCCGUUCGUAUGAAUCUCGAGUUAUCAGGAACUAUAGAACCUAAUACAUUUUUCAAAAGUGUGGGCGUGGCAGUUUUUGGGGGAUUUUUUGGCGUGGGUGGCGUUAUAACAUAGGACAACAAACUUGCGCUGCGUCUAUGUCUCUGGAAACUGUGUGCCUAAAGUGGCAAAAAGUUUCUUGGCAAAUCAAAGUUUUUUGGCGGUUUGUGGGCGUUAGAAGUGGCGUGGCAACAUCAUCUACAACAUCUGUAUGUGAAAUCUGCAUGCCCAAUCUUAGCUUUUUAGCCUUUAUAGUACCUGAGAUCUCGACAUUCAUACGGACAUUCAAUAGACGAUUUAAUCUGGCCAUGUCCGUCCGUAAGUCUGGACGGACAUGGCCAGAUUAAAUCGUCUAUUGAUUCUGAUCAAGAAUAAUGCUUUCUUUAUAUGGCAGGAAACGCUUUUUCGACUGUUCAAGGAAUCUAGUAUGUAUAUUCUUUUACUCUGCUUGUAUACCUCUUAAGUUUUGACGAUGUUUUUAAAGCCUUUGUAGCGCUUAAGAUUACUAAACUUCUUGCAUAUAACACAUAUUCGAGAAAUCGCUUUCUGGAGUUGUUUCUUGUUGUUUGUUAUCAAACACACCUUAGCGAGAUGGCGAACAUUUUAACAUUUAUUACAAACUAAUUAGUUUUUAUUAUAAUUGGAAACAUACCGGUAAUAAAAUAAGUGCUUGGGAAUGUAUUACGUUAUGAAUUAAACUGUUGUUCUACUAAUAAAGAACUAUCCUGCAUUUACUCUUUUGGAGCGUUAUUUUAUAAAAUUGUUUGUAUGAGCAUAAUAAAUGAAUAUAUAAUAUUAAUAUAUAGCAGUUUUGCCUCUAAACUAGAGAUUGUUUCCAGAAGUGGGUAACAGAAUAUGUUUUAAAUAUUUCUAUAGCACCUUCAAAUAUUUUUCGACACUUAGGUAAAGUAUCUUUCAGACCAUUUUAAGGUUUCAUCAAAUGCGUAUUUUAAGCAAUAGCGGGGGAUUUUAUCCCCAAUUUAAUCUUGUAUAAGUUUUUUUAGUAGUUGUCCACAGUGAUUCUUGAUUAAGUAUAUUCCCCUCCUCAAGUGUGUUGUGUAUGUAGCUUUAACACUAGAGCUAUUAGAUUCAAAAGCUACUUAAAGUAAGCAUCGGCUAACAAGAUACAAAUAUGCAUUAAAAUACACUUACUAUUUGUCUUAAACACCAUAUAAGUCUCUAUCUAAGCCAGAAAUGCGAAACGGAUUCGAAGGAAUUUCCAUAAUCCCAACUCAAUACUGCGUUUACAUGUUUAGUGUUGCUUUUUAUUAUUAUGUAGUUUAUAAAGCUAUAUUUUAAUUUACUUCAACAUUCCAAGUGACUCGAUUCUCAUGGCUUCCCCAUUUCAUAUUCGUUAUUGUUGAGCAGCAUUUUCAGGAGCCUCUCCACCUUGGAAAAAGCUCUCAAGCAAAUGUAAAUACUUCAGAUCGUACGGAAAUGAAGUGGAGGUAGCAAACAAUAAAUAAUAUUUCUAGUAAGCGAGACGAAGACAAGAACAAUGGCUGCACACAAAGGACUAAAGGCAGAGGUUACUGCCACCCGCAAUAAUGUCACGGGGGGCGGUGGCGUGGCGGUGGUGUACAUAUGUAUUAAUGCCGAGUUGCUUGCUGGAAACUAUUUUAAUCGAUGGACAGGUUGCUUGCCAUUAGUUGCGGUUUGUACGCAAAGCGCGGAUUUCUUUUUGUUCUACUUUGGAGUGCGGCUCACCUUUUUUUUUUGUGGCACCCUGUUCGCACUGUGACCUACGGCAAUGGGGCGAAACUUCUGCCGUUCGGACGGUUGCUUCACACGUCUCACGGCCUUCAGUUGCCCAGCCUCCUCCCGCUCCGCAGCCACGUCACCCAGUGCAAGAGCCAAAUCGCAGGCCCAGUGUCAUCCCUUGCCGCCGAAAAAGUCGUAAGCUUGCCCUCAUAUUCUGAUAAAUUUUUCACACACAAAAUCUUACGCUUAUUCUUUUCUACACGCCGCAAGGACCAAUCGCAUAAUGGGGCGUGGUGACGACGACUGCCACGAGAGUUCUGCCUACUCAGCCCGUGGCUGUAGAUGUUCUGCAGUUUCGCUCUCUAUUUGAUGUUGCUGUUUAUGUUUCGCUAUUGCGCAGCGACACGACGCAACCAGCAGACUGGCGGAGAUGGGGUGUCUGAUUUUUUCUCAAGCCAAACUUUGUUUCCCUGGGGUUGCCUCGUGGGGGGACAGGAUUCGUCUUUGGUUGGGAAGCCAUUUUCUAAGCUUGGUCGCGAGAAACGACUCUAAGCUCCUGAUUCAAUCACAGUAAGCAACAUUGCUUCGAUUUUCAAGUGGCGUGAACUUAAGGCAGCGUGCAAAGUCAAUCAAUAAAUUAAUCAUUUUAACUAUGCAAGGACACGAAAACAUAUAGUUUUCUGUUUUCAAAUUUUAAGCUGCUCUUCAAACGACCUCAUAAAACAAUCCCUUGUGCUUUUGCUAUUACUUAAAAAGAAAGUAUGAUGAAGGACACUAUUUAAUUUACAAAGACCUUUUCUUCUAUUAAAAAACAAUUAACACCCCAAUUUUGCCGCAGGUUAAUGUAAUUGUUAUCUUACCUUUAAGAAUAUGUACUAUAUAUUUUGAUAGACUACGUUGGUAAUCUUUUUUGAAGAAAGGGUAUAUAUGAUAGGAAUAUCUACGUCUAUAAUUAUCAAAUACGUAAUUUAUCAAAAUGUUGACAAACGCUUAGAUCAUAGACAAUAUUUCUCAGUGGACUCUAGUCCACAUAUGUAAUAACAAGCCGCACUAGAAAAGUACGCGAAAAAGUGCAAAUCUAUUGUGGUAGUUCUACUAUAACGAAUUAUGGCAAAGGAGACCUAUGAUGGGGAAGACUAGUUUACGGACAUAAACUUUACUUAUUGGGCACGCUGCAAUGAAUAGUGAUCCCGAUACCACCACGCCUUUCCCAGAAAUCUUAAAGAAUUUUAACAUGUUUCAAUCUUGGAUUACUUUUGAGAACAGUUAAUUUGGUAAGCUGAUAAUUCUACUUAUUUUGGGAAAACAAGUGAGAACGCUACAGAUCGUGCUAGGGAGAAAUGUGCGUGACAGUUUUGGGCGGUUUGUGGACGCGUGGGAGUGCCAACAUCAGUUGCCUAGGUUUUAUAGUAUAUGAGAUCUCGACGUUCAUACGGACGAACGCACAGAUGGACAGACGGACAUGCCCAGAUCGACUUGGCUAUUGGUCCUGAUCAAGAAUAUCUAUCCUUUAUAUGGUCGCAAACGCUUCCUUCUACCUGUUACAUAAUUUUCAAGGAAUCUAGUAUACCCUUUUACUCUACGAGUAACGGGUAUAAUUAAUAAAUGUAACCGACGCCAAGGGCGAUCUUGCCUAUCUUCAUCGAACUCCAUUUAACUAAGUAUACUAAGUAUCGGGUAACCCAAUUAACACAUUUUUAAGACGGACCAGGUCAAAUCAACUCGUCUAGUGAACUUAACCUAAAAUGUACUUAGCGGUAUAGUCGAUUUGCCGUGAUAACGUUUUUGGCCGUUUUGGUCGAUUUGUAGGCGUUAGGGUGGGCGUGGCUAAAAGUUUUUUGGCAGAUAGUUAGAAAAUUACAUGAUAAAUGAAAAAGUAUCAAAUCCUUUUUCAAAAGUGUGGCAGUUUUGUGCGGCUUGCGAGCGUUGGAGUGGUCGUGGCAACAUGGGCCAACAAACUUGCGCUGCGUCUAUGUCUCUGGGGGACUAUGUUUAAUUUCAACUUUCUAGCUUUUGUAGUUUUUGAAAUUUUGACGGACAGACGGACGGACAUGGCCAGAUGGACUCCGCUAUUGAUUCCGAUCAAGAAUUAUUCCUGUUAUUCCUGUUAUUCCUGUUACAUACGAAACAAAUAUUUAGAAUAUGUUUUUACAAGACAAUAGUUAAAAAUAAUCAAUCAUAAGCCAUGAGCUUUCGAAGUUGGAACCAGAACGUUCUCAGCAUUUUUGAAACUUCUUGUCAAUUAUUCAAAUUUUGAAAAAUAUUGACUGUUCUGCCUUUCUUAUACAUUACUUUCGACAUUGAAAUAGUAAUUUUGCCAUCUACGAAAUUCUUUGGAAAUUCCAACAAAUAUCAACUAUUGCUCCUUCACAGUUUGCACACGAGGGCCACCUAGCUGUGAUGACGUACCGUGGUACUCCCUAAAAUCUGAAUUAAAUAAAAUCUAUAGAAACGUAGUGAUUCAGUCGGAUUCUAGUGUUGAUAUUGUUCCGAUUUAAUCAAUUUGUAUUACCUAUUGACGAUUUGUUUAAGCAUUAUUGGGUUGACACUGAUUUAAAACAAAAUAUUACUUCAAGGGCAUUACUAGAACUAGUAUGCUUUAACUCAGCUGUCUCGACCCGUAUUGAAUCGAUUAGCAAAAAAAACAAAAGUGACCCUGUUGUUGGUCAGGAGGAUAAUACCCUCGAUGUCCGCAGAGGUCGUUCUUCGUCAUUAACUUUUGAAUGGAUUGGUCCUGCACCUGAUGUCAUGUAGCUUUAGCAACAUGACUUUAACACUGAUAAGCACAACGCAAAGGCCCUCCAAUUAAAGCGUGUAUAUCGGCAGCAAAUGCCACGGGCUAUGUACAGACGUAUGUUGCAGUGGGGCACAAGGACCAAGUCGAAUCGGAGUUGGAGGUGUAAGGCCUAAAUACGGAGGAUAGCCUGAGGCAGCAAUGGCCACAUAAUUGAAGGUUCAAGUAGCGUGGCUCAAUUUGCGGGAGCGUUUCGCUUUAUUACACACUUUUGACACGAAACAGGCAGUCACCAGAGCUCUGCUUGGCACUCAGACUCUCACAGUCACCCAUAUAGUGUAGUGCCGCACACCGUACGCCAACCAUCAAGACAUAUCCCAAAGUACUCGUCCUAGCAGUUCGGCUUCGUUUGCUCGUUCUGCUCUAAUGACUGCCUAAUACUGAAAUUCGCUAGCUGGCAACCACGACUUGGGAGUGCUCCUGGAAAGGAAAACGCGGAGGUGGGUAAAGCCGAAGGAGGGAGGAUUGGUGGGAGGGACCUUCUUUGACUUGACGGACGCACGUUUAUUAUGGCGGAUUUUCGUAAUAAACUUGUGUAAUAGAAUAAAAGCCAGACGGCACGGUAAGCAAACUCCCCGUUGAGCUUAAGUCCGAUCACGCUUGAUAGCCCUGUCUGCGGGUGGUUUGGUAGGUGGAGGGGUGGUUUUACAGAGCAGAGGGCUGCGGUGGGCCAAUGCAACGUAUGCUGCACACGCUGGUUUGGGCACACGUGCGGCUUGUUCUCAUUGAAAAAAUCUUUGCUUUGAGCACGUGCACGGGAUUUUACAUAAUCAAGAGCCGAGAACUGCAAAAACCCGAGUACACAAUCCCUGCCUAAGCUCGUGUAGAAAAUAUUCUCGUCAAUCGGGCUAUCAUGUUUUUGAGUCACUAGCCGCCGACUCUACCACCCACCCGCCGAGCACAGUGAUAAGCACCCCAAGAACUUCCGCAAACAUACGCCACCUGAACUCAAACUCGAACACUUUUCCAUAGAGCUUUUGUUUGCUGAAAAGAUAGAUUUUGACUUCUACAAAUUUUCGCACAAGGCGAGCCGAGCCACCAUCCUGAACACGCCACCCUCAGGGCCCAGCAUGUGACCGUAUAAUAACCUUGACGUAGUUGGGGUGGGGAUGGGUUGGGGGGAGGUUUGGUUACCAUCAUCGCCGCAGGUAUUUCCACGGAUUAAAGCACGCAGGCCGUGUCAUUUGACACCACUCGAAAUCCACAUGCCCCAGCAGUCGUGAGGAUCCACCCCAGUUACCAAUCUCAGGCACAAACCACUCAAGCUGCAAACAUAUUUAUUUUAAUGACGCAAAUUUUAGUGGCAAUAAGGUUGAGCCACAAUUAGAAACAAUAUAAGUUCACCCUUCGUAGAAAUAUGUUUCGGUAAUAUUGUUUCUUAGUUAUAAAACAAGAAAGAACGCUAUAGUCGAGUUCCCCGACUAUCUGAUACCCGUUACU